rnacentral:misc_RNA from 1 species
GGUUACUAUAAGGGAGUCCAAUUUCAUUAGUGUCAACAACUGGUCGUAGGCACUCUCUCACUAGAUCAGAUUUUGUAACAUGAUCAUGUUCCACAACAUUGUCAUCUACAGAAUCAUGGAAAUCACUGGACAGAAUUUGGCAGUCUCCCCAAAAUCAUAAUAUGCUUCUUUAGUAGGAAUCACAUCUGCAGUUGGUAAUCCCUCGAC